UACGUAGGGGGCAAGCGUUGUCCGGAAUCAUUGGGCGUAAAGCGCGUGUAGGCGGCCCGAUAAGUCUGCUGUGAAAGUCCAGGGCUCAACCCUGGAAGGCCGGUGGAAACUGUCGGGCUAGAGUCCGGAAGAGGCGAGUGGAAUUCCCGGUGUAGCGGUGAAAUGCGCAGAUAUCGGGAGGAACACCAAUGGCGAAGGCAGCUCGCUGGGACGGUACUGACGCUGAGACGCGAAAGCGUGGGGAGCAAACAGG
rnacentral:rRNA from 1 species